AACGCUAGCGGCAGGCUUAACACAUGCAAGUCGAGGGGCAGCACGUCUUCGGAUGGUGGCGACCGGCGCACGGGUGCGUAACGCGUAUACAAUCUGCCUCUUACUGCGGAAUAGCCCAGAGAAAUUUGGAUUAAUACCGCAUAGUAUUAUUGAAUGGCAUCAUUUAAUAAUUAAAGAUUACGGUAAGAGAUGAGUAUGCGUUCUAUUAGCUAGAUGGUAAGGUAACGGCUUACCAUGGCAACGAUGGCUAGGGGUUCUGAGAGGAUUAUCCCCCACACUGGUACUGAGACACGGACCAGACUCCUACGGGAGGCAGCAGUAAGGAAUAUUGGUCAAUGGACGCAAGUCUGAACCAGCCAUGCCGCGUGCAGGAAGACGGCCUUAUGGGUUGUAAACUGCUUUUGUCAGGGAAUAAACCUACCUAUGUAUAGAUAGCUGAAGGUAC
rnacentral:rRNA from 1 species